GUAGGGAAUAUUGCGCAAUGGACGAAAGUCUGACGCAGCGACGCCGCGUGAGUGAUGAAGGCCUUAGGGUCGUAAAGCUCUGUUGAAUGGGAAGAAAAAAAUGACGGUACCAUUCGAGGAAGGACCGGCUAACUUCGUGCCAGCAGCCGCGGUAAUACGAGGGGUCCUAGCGUUGUUCGGAAUCAUUGGGCGGAAAGGGUGUGUAGGUGGCCAUGUAAGUCAGGUGUGAAAGCCCCGGGCUCAACCCGGGAAGUGCACUUGAUACUGCGUGGCUUGAGUACCGAAGAGGGUAGUGGAAUUCCAGGUGUAGUGGUGAAAUACGUAGAUAUCUGGAGGAACACCGGUGGCGAAGGCGGCUACCUGGUCGAGUACUGACACUGAGACACGAAAGCAUGGGGAUCAAACAGGAUUAGAUACCCGAGUAGUCC
rnacentral:rRNA from 1 species